rnacentral:rRNA from 1 species
UAAUUAAGCGGAGGAAAAGAAACUAACAAGGAUUCCCCUAGUAACGGCGAGUGAAGCGGGAUGAGCUCACCAUGUGAAUCUGCGCAACCAGCAAUGGUGCGCCGAAUUGUGGUCUGAAGAAGUAUCGUCGACCGCGAACCCGGGCCAAGUCUCUUGGAAAAGGGCAGCUGAGAGGGUGAAACUCCCGUUCUUGCCUGGGUACGUUGUGUCAUAGCAUGAUCUUUCUAUGAGUCGAGUUGCUUGGGAUUGCAGCUCAAAUUUGGUGGUAAAUUCCAUCUAAAGCUAAAUAUUGGUGGGACACCGAUAGUGUACAAGUACCGUGAGGGAAAGAUGCAAAGAACUUUGAAAAGAGAGUUAAAGAGUACCUGAAAUUGUUAAAAGGGAAGCGAAGGAAUCCAGUGUAAAGCGAAGCCAUUCUUCUCAAGCCACUUGUGGUUUGGGCGCUGUGGUUAGCUGUACUAAUUCUGGGCUUGACCUGGGACAAACGUUUAGUAAGUAGACGACUCCUCGGAGUGAGUGCUUGCUCUUCAUGUUCUGGGUCGGGCUGAGGUCAGUCACUCUGUGCUCGUGAUGAAUUAGGAAAUGGAUUUCUUUACCCCG